GUUUAGCCCCGAUAGCAGCGGCAUCCUUUUUCCGGUUUCUUUAACCGGGAAAAGAUAUAGCGAAUAGCGGGACAAAUG
rnacentral:sRNA from 1 species